rnacentral:rRNA from 1 species
GACGAACGCUGGCGGCGUGCUUAACACAUGCAAGUCGAACGAUGAAGAAAAGAAUUGAAGCUUCGGCAGAAAUUCAUUUCGGAUUAGUGGCAGACGGGUGAGUAACGCGUGAGCAACCUACCUCUUACAAAGGGAUAGCCUCGGGAAACCGGGAUUAAUACCAUAUAACAUUGCGACGAAGCAUUUCGAUGCAAUCAAAGCUACGGCGGUAAGAGAUGGGCUCGCGUCCCAUUAACCAGAUGGUGAGGUAACGGCUCACCAUAGUAACGAUGGGUAACCGGCCUGAGAGGGUGAACGGUCACACUGGAACUGAGACACGGUCCAGACUCCUACGGGAGGCAGCAGUGGGGAAUAUUGCACAAUGGGGGGAACUCUGAUGCAGCGACGCCGCGUGAGUGAUGAAGGAAUUCGUUUCGUAAAACUCUGUUCUAUGGGAAGAAAAGGACUGUACCAUAGGAGAAAGCUCCGGCUAAAUACGUG